AUGGAGUCAAACACUUCAAAAGGUCAGUCUAGAAGAAGCCCUGGAGAAGCCAAAGAGCCAGUGGUGAGAAGAAAAGCUGAGGCUAGAAAAUUAGGAGUAGGAAGGGGUGGGGUGAGGCUGAGCAAGGCUGCAGGAGAGGAGCAGCACAGAGUGGUAGUCCAGGUGAAUAGAGUAACAGGCAGGGGGAGGAAAGGAGACGUGGGGAAAGGCAGGCAAAGCCAGCCAAACACCAACAAAGUUUCACGAGAGCCUGAUCUGACAAUAAAGUUAGAGAAACAAGCUGUAGGUGAGAGAAAAAGUGGACAGACAGUAGAGAGAAAUGAAAGUACAGUAAGAGUCACAAAGGAAGAACCAAACAAAAGGGUGGAAGUGAAGAAAGGAGAUGGGGAUGGAGAGAUUAUUCUUCAAAAAGGUGAGGAAGAAAAAAAGAUGUGUGAGCUCUUUAAAAAGGGACCAGGAGCUGCAGGAAAAGGAACAAGGGAAGGAAACCAGGUAAAGAAAAAACUAUCGAGAACUGGAAGUAAACAAUCAUUGGGAGUUGAGGACUAUCUGACCCUCCUGAAGUUAUUAAAAAUUAACCUGCCUAAGGGAGCACUGAAUCUAAUGGUCAUCAAACACUCAGCAGAUCCAAACAUCAUCCAGGAUGCCAAAGAUAUUGUCCAAGACCUGGAAAAAUUUAAACUUAAGUUUAUUGCAAACCCUCGUCUGGGGUGCCGUGAGGUUAAGCACGCGCUGAUUCUGAAAAAGAGAGGCAAUGCUCGAGAACUCACACGGAUAAUUUUUUUCGAGAAUGCUAAAGAUUCUGAGGAAACCUUGAAAGAUGCAUGGCUAAAAAAUGCAUCCAACAGUGGCCACGGGUUCAGAAUGAGGGACAGAUACAGGACCACCCCCAUCUCCAUACCUGUCAUGUAUGCUACAGCAAAAACAAGGAGCUGGAAAUGUUUAGAGACAGGAGAAGAUCAUGCAAAGAUCACAGAAGGUGUGAGGAUAAACAUUCAAGAGCUUGAGAAGAUGGAAUACUCUGAUGAAUCUUUGAUCCAGGCAUCUUCUAGCCCGCAGAGGUUUGGAAAUUUUUUCCGAAACCCAGCAGAUGAAAUGGAAUGCCUUAAGUUCUUCCAUGAACAGAGAGAGAUUAUGUCAAAAUACGACAAACUGACCUACACCAAGGGCAACAAGGUGGAAUUUGGGUUCCUCACAGGAAAUUUGGACUUUCUAGCAGAGGCCAGGCACAAGACAGUCCCUGGUAAAAGCGUCCAACUUAGUACACCAAACAAAGACAAAAUCAUAAUUGAAUGUAAAGGGACUACUGGUGACAUGGUGGGCAAACUGUUCACUAAGCCCCACAAUGGAUGUUGCCAAGCUCAGUUUACUGAGACCCAUGAAUACUGGUACCAAACACAGGCCUAUAUGUACAUACUGAAAAGAGUGAAGCAAACUGCUACAGUCAGGGCUGUGAUGGUGGUCAGACAUUAUCACAGCAACAGCAGCAGAUCGAGAGAUUUCUACUGGAACUACCUGAGGGAGGACCACACCAAGCAGAUCGAUGAGCUGAGAGUGUACUGCCAAGAGGAGGUGUUGCCUCGAUUCCUGGCUGUGCUCACACUCAUCUUCCAGAAAGAGACUGAUGCCUUGGAACAAACACUUUGA
ensembl:lncRNA